CAUUGAGGCAAUUUCUUCCCUAAUCUAUUCCUUUGUGCUGAACUUUUUUAAGUUUGACACUCUAGAUAUCCGUCUGCCUCAAGCAAAACAGUUGACAGAAAGCCAUGAACCCAUCAUGCCCUGAUUCAUAGGAAGUAAUUACUAAUAAUCCUAAUUCUGGUUCAUAGUUUGCUUGUCAGUAAUUACAGCUGCAGUUGAAUGCUUUCAGCAUUAACCAUCAGCCCAGAGUUGCAGCUCCCUCCUCAUCUCAGGGAAAUGGAACUUCUCACAUAUCACAGACAACUUGGAGGAAGCUCAGCUGGACCAGAAGAGCCAGAAAUUGGGAGCAUGCAAUGGCAGAUCAUCAGGGCAAGGCCACUCACCAGCAGGGAGGCCCAGUGAAUGCAGAGCAGGUGGCAACAGGAAAGACUGGAGGCCAGUCUGAUAGGAAGGCAAACACCAGCAAGAGGCAAUUCCGGGAUCAUUUAUGGGAAACCGAGGCAUGGUCUGCAGAGGCAACCGCCCCCCCACCGUCACUUCCAGAGAGAUGAACGGAGACUUGAUCUCUGAGAACCCAAUCUUCUCAACAAGUUGACAACAUGCUAAUAAGCAUAGUGUCUUACUCUGUAGCAGGUACUUUUACUUUAUGUGUUAUUAACUCUCCAUCUUCUCAACAAUCAUAUCAAGCAAGUGCUACUUCUAUCCCCGAUGUAUGUAUAAAUUUGUCCAACCAUGUAGCUCAUAAGCAAAUUAACUGUAAUUUCCAAACCUAGAUACACCGACCCUAGAAACUACACUCUCACAACUUUCCUACCCACCAACACCUCUUAAAGUUGAGGUGAGAACUAAGUAACAAGCACUUAUUAGCUGCAAAUUUCAGUGGAAAGCACUAGUCCAAGCAUUUGUUUGAAACCCCCCACACAAUUUGUACAACAACCCUAUGAGAUAGUGUGUCCGUCAGCAUUUGGUCACAAAAACAAAAGGUAUUUUGCAUGUUCUAAGUAUCCACAGUUCUAAUGCAGGAAAUUAGAGGUUUGCAGUCUUUUGGAAAGACUUAGCAAUGAAUUCAGGGAAGCCACCAGGACCUUUCUGCCUGCUGCUGUAUCUAUGCAAGUGGGAGUCGACACUCACCCAGAGGCCACUGAACACCUUAAGGGCCUCUGGGAGGGUCUCUCUGGCUUCUCAGCCAGCAUCCCUGAGAUAGGUGAUUCUUAGGCUUACCUGAAAGCCAUUAUAAAUCUCUUAUCUACCUGCCCACACACUUGCCUGCAACCAACUCCCUUAAAACAUAAUGGCUGCUGCUUCUCUCAUUUUAGGAAAAUCUCACCCAAGUCCCUCUCCUUGGCAGACUCUACACAAAGCCAUACACAAAAAGAUGUUCUAAGAACCAUAGUUAUUGGCUUCUCCACAGUACAGGGGAGACUUAGAAGGCAGUAAAGAUGCAUCAAGUUGAGAACAAAUGAUCUGGUAGAAUUAGGUAGAAUUCAUAUACCCAUUUUACAGUUGAUGAAACUGAGGCAGAGGCACAAAGCGGUUAAUCAAUUUACACCUAAUCACAUAACUUUAGUAAAUGAUAAAGCCAUGAUUCAAAUGUAGAGGGACUGGCUCCAUAAUCUAUGCUGUUGCCAUUGCAUGAGAUUGUUUUCAUGGAAGACUUAACUCAGCACAGCUUGGCACACCUGUUAGUGCUACACUCAUUGUGGUGGCUGGGUUUUAUUCUUAUUGAUACAUUUCUUGUGUUACUAUAUUUGUUUUUCUCAUAAUUAGCACAACUGGGAUUGCUCAGCUAAUACCCAUGGAAUGUUGAAUACCCCCACCCACAGUCUGCCCCAUAUCUCAAGGCAACCUAGACAGGUUUUCUUCCUCUAAUGAAUUAUCAUUAUGACUUAGUCCAAGAUUUCUAAAUAAUUACCAGUUCCAAAAAACCAGUAUCCACAGAUAUGUGCAUGAAUACAAGCAUACAUGCACACACAUAUGCACACACACACACACACACACACUCCGUCUUUAUGAGCAGCAACGUAACUGUAUUUCAAUGGAUGCAAUUGAUGAGGGCGAGUUCCAGGCGCUUCACCCAGGCAAUCCCGGCUGGCCAAUUAUUGCAGACAGCCUGCUCCCACCUAUUCACCACACAGAACACAUGUCAAAAUGCACUCGGAAACAACACUAGGCUGCAGCACACUGAGAAGGUGAGGCUGAGCAUCGGACUUGCUGACUUUGGGCUGCCCGGCAUUGCCCGGAACACGUGUGUGGUCUCUGAUUCCAUCUCUAGAUACUGCAGGGAAGGCUCUGUAAUUGGAAAAUGCUGCCCAAGCAGAAAGUCUGCCUUGCUUAAUAAACAGGGCUCUCUGAAGAUGUUCAAAAUUACCAGAGGAGAAACACAGCCUGGUGUUACCAUCAGUGUUCUAGAACUGGCUGAAAUUGAUCAAAGGUUUUAGCUGCGAUCUUUCUCCUACAGCUCAUUUAACCAUGCAAUUAGGCAGUUAAGUAGAUGCAAAAUAUUUAAAAUUAAAGAUGCUUCUCAUC
rnacentral:lncRNA from 1 species